GGCAAUCUGAUCAGAGUUCCAUAGGUGAUAAGGAGGGGGCAGUGCUACAUUGAUAAUCACUGAACAUCUUCCACAGGCGCCUUCUGUGUUCAGAUUCCUUUUUGUGUUUUAGCAACAGAACCCUUUCCCAAGCAGGUCCAGAGAGGCAGAGAAGAUUAUCUGCAGGUCCGCACAGCUGGAACCCAAGAGGGAGAUGCCAGAAUUAUGCUGCUGUGUUUACAAAUGAGGAUCUGAGGCUCUGAAAAGUGAAGUAACUAAUCCAAGGAUGGACAGCUGGGAGGUGGUGGAGCCUCGGUUUGAUCCCAGAUCUGUCUGAAUGCAGAGAGCUUGGCCCCUGUAAGUCAAGGCAAGGACAGGGGCUUCGGCAACUGGAGAGGAAGGAAAGGAGGUGGAGAGGGAGACUGGAAGAGCUGCAGAGCAUUGCACGCAAAGGCACUGCUGGGGCUGGUCCCGUGUCACCAUGGAGAGGGCUCCGAUUUCUCUGAGAAGCUGCCAGACCUCUGAAAUUUAAAACGCUUUCCUCCCUUUCAGAGUCUAUCAAGACUUUCCCAGUUUCUUAAACUUUGGAGGGCUCCCACAAAUUCUUAGGAGCACUGUAUGAGAAGGAAGUAUCUGACUUUCAAGCCUCGGUUGAGAUUAUAGAGACAUGGUGGUCCUUGCAGGGUGGUCCUUGAAGAGAGGUCUUCCUUCGUGGACCACCUGCUCAGUUGCUCACCUGCAUCCCACCACACACCUGGCUUUGCUGCCAGCUUUCUCCCCCUGCUUGCUCUGUGGCCUUAUUCAUCACUGUCAUCAUCCUGACAUCUCUGUGUGGAGACUGGGGACAAGCAGAAGGUCACAUGGUUUAUGUCUUUCCUUUGGCAACCUCUCCAUCAGUGGAUCCCUUCAGGGAGUUCUGACAGCACAGGGAGCUGCCUUUGGAGUCCCCUCAAAACUAUGGUUUUUCUGGUAGUCAUGUAUGGAUGUGAGAGUUGGACCAUAAAGAAGGCUGAGCGCCGAAGAAUUGACACUUUUGGACUGUGGUGUUGGAGAAGACUCUUGAGAGUCCCUUGGACUGCAAGGAGACCCAACCAGUCCGUCCUAAAGGAAAUUAACCUUGAAUAUUCAUUGGAAGGACUAAUGCUGAAACUCCAAUCCUUUGGCUGCCUGAUAUGAAGAAUGGACUCAAUAGAAAAGAUCCUGAUGCUGGAAAAGAUUGAGGGCAGGAGGAGAAGGGGGCAACAGAGGAUGAGAUGGUUGUGUGGCAUCACCGACUCAGUGGACGUGAAUCUGAGAAAACUCUGGGAGAUAGUGAAGUACAGGGGAGCCUGGUAUGCUGUAGUCCAUGGGGUCGUAAAGAGUUGGACACAAUUUAGUGACUGAACAACAAAAAGCUCAUCAUUUAGAUUCUUUGCCACUGAUGUUACAUACUGAUCAUUACAAUGACUGAGGAUCACAUGAUUGGGUACUGUAACAUUAUGAGAGGUUUACAGAAAUGGUUUUUGGGGAUGCACGUUUGAAAGACACAUAUGAAAAGAAAAAGAAGAUGUUUCUCCAUUUUCAUUCAGAAGUUUAAACAGAAAACAUCCCUGCAUCAAAAAAUCUAAAAAAGGAAUUAAGGCCUCUGUGUUCACUUCCAAGAGGAAACUGUCCUGAGCCUUGCUCAGAAAGGGCUCAGAAAAUCGAGUUUCUUUUUUUAAAUGUUUAUUAGAGGAUAGUUGAUUUGCAAUGUUGUUUUACUUUUUACUGUACACCAAAGGGAAUCAGUUGUACGUACACAUGUAUCUGCUCUUUUUUAGGUUCUUUUCCCACAUAGGUCAUUACAGAGUAUUGAGUAGAGUUUCCUGUGCUAAAUAGCAGGUCCUUAUUAGUUAUUUAUUUUAUAUCUAGCAGUGUGUAUAUGUCAAUUCCAAUCUCCAAGUUUAUCCCUCCUCCCCUUUGCCCUGGUAACCAUGGUGGUUAAGUCGCUAAGUCAUGCCCGACUCUUGUGACCCCAUGGACUGUAGCCUGCCAGGUUCCUCUGCCCAUGGGAUUUUCUAGGCAAGAAUAUUGGAGUGGUUGCCAUUUCCUUCUCCAGAAGAUCUUCUCGACCCAGGAAUCAAACCUGGGUCGCAGAUUCUUGCAUCGCAGGCAGAUUCUUUACCGACUGAGCUAUGAGGGAAGCCCAACAGAAAGUAUAAACUCUCUCACUGCCUCUGUGCAGUGUGUCAUUUAGGGAAGAAGAUCUUAAGCACUGUGUAUCUGGCAUCUUCUUGGACCAGGUAUUUGGUCUACCUGAGUCUUCACAAUGCUCCAUGUAAGGAGGGUAUUAUGUUGUUGUUGUUUAAUUGCUUAGUUGUGUCUCUUUUGUGACCCCAUGGACUC
ensembl:lncRNA